CGGGGCGUGGCGCAGCCCGGUAGCGCGCCUGCUUUGGGAGCAGGAUGUCGGAGGUUCAAAUCCUCUCGCCCCGA
rnacentral:tRNA from 1 species